rnacentral:rRNA from 1 species
CGCAGUCGAGGGGAUAGGUUUUCGGACCUAGAGACCGGCGCACGGGUGCGUAACGCGUAUGCAAUCUACCUUUUACAGAGGGAUAGCCCAGAGAAAUUUGGAUUAAUACCUCAUAGUAUUAUUGAAUGGCAUCAUUUAAUAAUUAAAGUCACAACGGUAAAAGAUGAGCAUGCGUCCCAUUAGCUUGUUGGUAAGGUAACGGCUUACCAAGGCAACGAUGGGUAGGGGUCCUGAGAGGGAGAUCCCCCACACUGGUACUGAGACACGGACCAGACUCCUACGGGAGGCAGCAGUGAGGAAUAUUGGUCAAUGGGCGCAAGUCUGAACCAGCCAUGCCGCGUGCAGGAUGAAGCAUCUAUGGUGUGUAAACUGCUUUUGUACGAGAAGAAACACUCCUACGUGUAGGAGCUUGACGGUAUCGUAAGAAUAAGGACCGGCUAACUCCGUGCCAGCAGCCGCGGUAAUACGGAGGGUCCAAGCGUUAUCCGGAAUCAUUGGGUUUAAAGGGUCCGUACGCGGUUUUGUAAGUCAGUGGUGAAAGCCCAUCGCUCAACGGUGGAACGGCCAUUGAUACUGCAAGACUUGAAUUAUUGGGAAGUAACUAGAAUAUGUAGUGUAGCGGUGAAAUGCUUAGAGAUUACAUGGAAUACCAAUUGCGAAGGCAGGUUACUACCAAUAUAUUGACGCUGAUGGACGAAAGCGUGGGGA